GGACUCUUUCGGUUCAGUCAGGUUGUUGGGUGGUCCCUCCCUGGCGUCUGUUCGCAGGUGAGAUUGGCCCCGCCUUCCUGAUGGCAUCUCUCCUUCCUCAGCUGGAUCUUCCUGGUUGGGGUCAAGCUGUGUAUUCGCUGCUGAGCUCUCUAGCGAGGGCUUCAGUUUGAGCUCUGUGGAGGUGAGGCCUACCAGGCCUUACGGUCUGUUUCCGUGUUUACAACUUUGCCUUCCUCUGUGGGACAGUUAGGCCCGCUGGCGUUAGUCCAAACUCCCGCCCAGGCCCCUGCGACAACUUGCUGCACCUGGCAGUAGCCGCUGCUCUGAUUUGCAUCCACUGCCCGGGCGCCCCACUGUCGGGCAGGGCUAUCUUGGACCUUGGGUUGCAGGAGGGAUGAGGUAACCACAGAAUCCGAAACGGAGCGCCAAGGGGGUUAAGUUCCCCAGCGCUCCAAGCCGGCUGCACGUUUCAGGUGGGGACGCGCCCCUAUCAGUCCCAUAGAAAGGAACCAGGCGCCUCGUUUGCAGUUGUGAAGUCCUCUAGCCCUCUGCCUCUCAUUCGCUGGGAGCUGCAUUCCGCUGCUGGCUUCUCUCAGCCAUCUUGGCGCCCUCCUCCCCAGCUCUUUCAAUUGUCACUGCAAUGUGGGGGCAUGUGACACUGGGGAUAUACAGCACUGUUCCUUGGAUGUGCAAGUGUGCCUUGGACAUGCCAUGCCACAGGAUAAAUAAGAUACAUGCUUCCUUUUCUCUGCUAUUAGGAGUCCUUGACAUGGAUGGGUCAUGCUGACGUAGGAAGAAUGGCUUGUCCUUGGUUCCCUUUCUGCCUUUGUGUGAUGCCUCCUUUCAGAUCCUAAGCUAGGUUAACAAUCCUGCCGGUUCUCUACUGUGGUGCCCUGAAGAGAGAGGGAUCCUAUCCUACCUUCAU
rnacentral:lncRNA from 13 species